rnacentral:tRNA from 1 species
UGCCCGGUCGUCUAAUGGUAGGACAACGGUUUUUGGUGCCGUUUAUUUUGGUUCGAGUCCAAGCCGGGCAG